ensembl:lncRNA
UCUCUCUCUCUCUCUCUCUCUCUCUCUCUCGCUAAAGCCACGCCCCCUUCCGGUUGCUCGCCCUGGUUUGUUACCGGUGUGUAGAACGUUCGGCGUGUUGUCUUGAUUGGCGAGGCUGAGCAUCUGUGGUAGGGACGUGGUGUUGUCAGUGGUGGUAUCCUUCCCUGUGUGAUGUGUGAACCCUGGGUAUUUUUCGUUUCAUCCAUCACCUGUGUGUGUGAUUUUAUUCACCUGGUGACCUCUCCCUGUUCCUCCCCUCUGGUGACACAUCCUGCCACAUGGUAAGCAACAGCCUCUGCCCCUUUGCACCUCCCUCCCCUUGUUUUAUCUAGUUGUUUUAAUAGAUUUUAACUUGAUUGUCAAAUAAAAUUUGAUUACUUAAUUGAGCGACCACGUCUCUUGCCUGGUGGUAUACGGACCUGUGUGCCUCAGACAAAUUAUUAAGAGGUAGAACUGUCCUUGGGGGUGAACCCCCCCGAGGUGGCGCUGUCGAGCUUAGCUUAAGAGCUACUGGGCAAUUUGACCCUGGCCUUGGCUCUAAACUCUCCCUGUUAUUCUGUAGCCCUCCUAGCUUGCUGCUACUACACUCGCCACACACAGAUGUAGGAGAUAAUAGAACAAUAAGACAGAACAUUUAUCAGCAGAAGAUCUGUAAGUUUUACUGCAACGCCUCAGACGGAAACCUCCAGAAAAAAACAAUGAAACAUGUCAAGGACAAAAUUAUUAGAAUAAAAGACUUAUGAGAAAAAAAUACACUGAAGAUAUUCAUAUCAUCGUGCUUUGCUGUCAUAUAUAGAUAAAUCUCAGGUUUUAGUCAUGAUUUCUUAUUUCUUAUUAUUUAUUAAACCGUUCAACAAUGAAAUCAACACAUAGAAUACGGUUUCAAUGCACAUUCUGAGGAUUAAAUCUGAAUAUUUGGCUUUUUUUUCUUCAAAUGAAAUACAGUUCACAUAACGGAAAUCCAAAAAGCAAGAAUUUUACACUCUGGUUGGUUUGUGCUGAAUGUAUUUAUAAAAAAAAAAAAAAAAAAGUUUUUUCUUUCAAAAUAAGCUGUAGUGACACUUUUUUCACAAUAAAAUGCUUAAUUUCAGUUGAUAUCGGUAAUUAUUGAUCAUUUUUAAUGAUAGAUUUUUAGUAAAGACCAGGAAAAAAUGGUUUAAAUUGGAUUAAACAUCUUCAGCCAAAAAGAAGGAGAGGAGGAGGAGGAAGAAGACGAGGAAGAAAAAGGAGAGGAGGAGGAAAAGAAAAAGAGGUAUAAUAAGAAGUUAAAAAAACAAUAUUCAUUUUGCAUUUUUUUAAAAAAGCAAAAAAAAAGUACAAAUUCUGUAAAAUAAAGGUACCUCAAUUCAUAGGCAUUUCUAGCCCCUAAAUUGAAUCCCAGCACCCCUAAAAUUUGAGAGAUUUUUUUUUUUUGUAUUGCAUGUCCUUUUUUUUUUUUUUUUUUUUUUAACAAACCAGAAAAGUGUAAAAACCAUUUUGAUCCUACCCAACUUUCCCACCUGGGCUCUGAGCUUCUACCUGCACAGAGCUCAGCUGCCUCCCAGAGAUGUGACGUCGUGGUGGAAGUAGCUGCUUUAAACCAGGAGAUGUGGCACAAUUCUGAACUUCUACCACCCAAUACCAACUCAUUAUUAUCAUUACAAGUCCUCAUUUCUGCUGCAUUUAAUCACAGGUUACUGUUUAUGUUGUUAGCUAGGAGUUAGCUGAUGUUUUUUCUAGAUAGCAAACGUUCCAGGUGGUCAGUGUCUGAACUGGACUGAGAGGUGUGUGUGUGUGUGUGUGUGUGUGUGUGUGUGUGUGUGCGUGCGUGCGUGCGUGCGUGCGUGCGUGCGUGCGUGCGUGCGUGCGUGCGUGCGUGCGUGCGUGCGUGCGUGCGUGCGUGCGUGCGUGCGUGCGUGCGCGCGCGCGCACAGACAGACAAACAGCCUCAUCAUGGACAUAAGAUUGUUUUUUCCAAAAAAAGAGCCAGGUUCAGGUAAGAGUGUCAGAUCAGAUGGUCUAUCAGGACUAAUGUUGUAAGUUGGAUCAAUGUUUAUUUCUGUUAUUAGAUAGAAAACACAUUGUUUGGUUAUUUGCCUUUAGGUUGACAGUACAAAGAGAGAGAGUACGUUAUUUAUUCGUAUUCUUAUUGGUAUUUUUUCAUAUUUAUGUAAUUUUUCAUCUAGUUGAAUACAAUCUAUUUGUGUAUGAUUGUCAUUCCAAAGAGGGAGAGAUGAAAAAGGGGAAGGAGAGGAGAGAGUUUAAGGUCAGGAAGAACCAGGUAAGAAAACAACCAGAGAAUAGUGGCAGAAAAACAGCAACUGUUAAGCUGACAAGCAUUUAAAGAACCUUUAUCAGAUUGGAUGGUUUAGUCUCAGACUUUUUCUUUCACAAAUGUGGGAAUGAAAUUGCGUUAAAAUGUACAAAACAGUGAACUUUAUCUUGCCUGUCCGGGAACCUCUGGGUUCUCAGCAACUCCUCAGUAAGGAAAGCAGCUAUUGGCUGUCCUAAAAGUCGCUAAAUGAUGUCAUCGCCUAAUUUGCAUCAUUUCCUGUUUGCAUGUAAUUGUAAUCAACGUUGUAGGAGAGACAGAAAGUGAGUUUAAAACACCCAAAAUCUGUUUCUGAACUAGAGGCUGAAUGCAGUGAUUUAUUUUAGUGACAGUGAAGAAACAUUUUCAUUUCCAUCCCGCUCUGUAAGCAGGAUGGAUCUGCAGAGACUUUGAUUCAUCUGCCGUCUGGACAUGGAGUGAUGUGGGUCUCCUCUAAUCAGACAGUGGGAUGCUGCAAGUCACUAGACUGACCUCCUGUGCUUUGGAAGGGGAGGAGCUCACAGCGCCACCUGCUGCUCGUUGAGGACAGUAACUGCAGAACGAUCCCAGCUUUCAUGUCAGACAGGGGCGGAUCCAGAUUAAUUUUAGUGGGGGGGCACAGGGGGGUACAACAGAUAUUUUGGGGGGGUUGUAAGAAAAAAUUAAAGCUGCUACCGACCUCUCGCUUUUACAAAGUAUUUUUCAUGUGUUUUUUGGCUCUUUAACCCAAUAGGAAAGCUGUAUAUGACCUUUUCAUUUUAGACUGUUAACAUUCAAAUUAUGAUGGACUUGUUUAUGUGAAUUACAACAUCAUUAGCUGCAACAUCUGCCUGUUCUGUAAAACUGGUAGCUCAACGACAGCAUCCUGAGGGCAAUUAAGUGACAAAUAUUGUGCAAGAACAGCACUAUUACAACCCUGUCAAUUUCCACAAUGUUUACUGCCAAUUAUCACACAUAAAACAAGAAAUAAUAUUCUGUACUAAUACUUCUCUACUACCCAAUACACAGUGAAUAAAUAUUAUCUGAAAGUCGGGUUAUUGUUUUUUAUCAGCACAAUACAAAAAGAUUCAUGUUAGACAUAUUCCAGUUAAGACUAGAAUAUCAGGAUUUAUGUAAAUUUACCUCAAUAAUAUGAAUGUUCAGGUUAAGAUUGUACAGUGAUAUUUAUUAUGCAAGUUUAGCUGAUUAAAGUUUAUGACUCUGCACUACAAUAUUAUUUAUUAUUUAAAUUGACAUCAUUAUUAUAAUAUUUAGGGUCAGACUCUACAGUAUUGAGAUUAAGAAAUCAAAUAUUCUAUAAAAUGUAAAUACACUGAACUAAUCUGGAUAUAUUUAAGUGAGACUCUACAAUAUUAUUUAUGACACAAAUCUAUCUAAAUCAACAUUUUAAUCAUUUCUUACUCCAAACAUUGACUGGACUGAUUUAAAUAUUAAAAUCACUCCUUUCUAAUCCUCUGCUGUACGUUCAAACCUGAGGCCUGAAAUAGAAACACACAAGUAUCUGAUUGAAGGAACUUCUGCAGAGUCCUGGUUCCAGAACAUGAUGAUAGAAUUAUAGACAAACUUUAACAAAAGCUGCCUGAGAGUUUACAGCUUUUUAUGUUAGAUUUCUUCAGUAAUUUAAUGAGAGUUAUCAGAAAAAAUCAAGUGUUCAUUUGAUGAACUUCAUUUCCUAAAACAUCCAGAAUUGGAGCUCAUAUCUUUGGCAGCUGUAAAGUUUCUGCUCCUUCAAAGUUCACAACACAAUGAAUGAAUUCCUAAAACACUCUCAGUGCUGGAGAGCGUUUGAUGCUGAAGCAGUGACCAGUUUUUCUGUUUCUUCUCUGGAGAUGCACAAUGAGGGACGUCUGCAGAGACUGAGAAAGAGUCUCAUCACAUCCUGACAUGAGGAAAAAGACUUCAUUGAAGACUACAAUGAGAAAAACUAUCAGACAGCAGACGGCUGCAUUCAAGGCUACAGGAGGAGCCCUACGAGGACGAGCCGGUCCACCUGAUGGCGGCCAGUCGCUGCGGUUCAAAGCCAACACCGACUACGUGGACUUCUACUGGACCACACGGAGGCCUUCAAACCGGACCAACAAGUUCAGCGACUCCCCGACUCGUGGGUCUGAGGACGCCGCCGAGCCUCGGUCCAGCCGGCCUCCUGUCUGUGGGUGUUUGAGUGCUGAGAGGUUUGUGGAUGCAUGUGAACGUUCUGUGUUGAAACAGCAGCUUUGGACUCAGUAACGCCGGGAAAAACCAAGAGCUCCUUUAUUUGUGACUUCCACUAAAAAAACUGAUGAAAAUAAGUUUGCCAGGGUUCUGACUGAUAACAGAUUAUUAAAUAAUGAAAAUAACUGUUUAAAUAUUCCUUUAAACAAUCCUUAGGUCUACAUUUCCUUUACACUGACUUCUUGGUAAAUGUACAAGUAUUUUUGGUGGAAUGUACCAUUAAGCCUAAUGUUCAAGGGUUCUUCUGGGAACAUACCAUUAAACCAACCUUUUAGGUAAAUGUUCCAGGAUGUUGGGUAGAAUAUACCAUCAGAUCAACCUUUUAGAUGUACAUUGGAAGAUUUUAGAGUGGAAUAUUACUCCAAACUCCUUUACACCAAGAUUUUUUGGUCUACAUUGAAGGAUUUUAGGUGGAAUAUUCCUUUGAACGAACUUUUUAAGUUUAUGUUCCAAGAUGUUGGGUGGAAUAUACCAUCAGACCAACCUCCAAGGUCUACAGUAGUGAAUUUUAGGUGGAAUAUACCAUUAAACUCACCUUUUAGGUCUACAUUGGAGGAUUUUAGGUGGAAUUUUCUUCCAAACAUCUUUUAGUCUACAUUUAAGGAUGUUUAGGAUGGUAUAUUCUUCCAAACCAACUUCUCAGGUCUACAUUUCAGGUGGAAUAUUCCUCCAUACUAUCUUUUUUGGUCUACAUUGAAGGAUUUUUUCUAAACCACCCUUUGGGGUCUAUAUUUGAGGUUUUAGGUGGAAUAUUCCUUUAAACCAACCUAAAUUUCAUGUUUUGAUCAUUAUCAAGUGAGAAACCUCAGUCCAGACUCCUCAUAACGACGUUUGAGAUUUAUGCUGCUGUUAUUUGUUUAGUCCAGACUAAAUGACAGAAAUCCACAACUGUAAUUUUAUUUCAGGACUCGGUUAUUAAAUGUCAAAACAAUCUAUGUGACUCUAAAAACUCAACAGCUUUACAAACUCUAAGAUUAAACUCUCCACAAGGAUCUAAAAUAGGUUGGACUUCUACAUGAGAGCUUUAAUUAUUCUUCAUCUACUUCCUGAAAAGUUUGGUCAAUAAAAAAGACAAAAACUAAUAUUUUCAGCUGAACUAAAGACAGACUUUGUGAUUUUUCUGCUCACAUGUUGUGUUGUUGUAAACUUCCUCUUUCAAAUAAAUAGCCUC